rnacentral:rRNA from 1 species
GACGAACGCUGGCGGCGUGCCUAAUACGUGCAAGCCGAGCGAGCGGAACCAACAGAUUUACUUCGGUAAUGACGUUGGGAAAGCGAGCGGCGGAUGGGUGGGUAACACGUGGGAACCUGCCCCUAAGUCUGGGAUACCAUUUGGAAACAGGUGCUAAUACCGGAUAAUAAAGCAGAUCGCAUGAUCAGCUUUUGAAAGGCGGCGUAAGCUGUCGCUAAGGGAUGGCCCCGCGGUGCAUUAGCUAGUUGGUAAGGUAACGGCUUACCAAGGCGACGAUGCAUAGCCGAGUUGAGAGACUGAUCGGCCACAUUGGGACUGAGACACGGCCCAAAACUCCUACGGGAGGCAGCAGUAGGGAAUCUUCCACAAUGGACGCAAGUCUGAUGGAGCAACGCCGCGUGAGUGAAGAAGGUUUUCGGAUCGUAAAGCUCUGUUGUUGGUGAAGAAGGAUAG